rnacentral:tRNA from 1 species
GCUGGAAUAGCUCAGUUGGUAGAGCAGCUCCCUCGUAAAGAGCAGGUCGUAGGUUCAAGUCCUAUUUCCAGCACCA